rnacentral:rRNA from 1 species
GACGAACGCUGGCGGCGUGCCUAAUACAUGCAAGUUGAGCGCUGAAGGGUGGUACUUGUACCAACUGGGUGAGCAGCGAACGGGUGAGUAACGCGUGGGGAAUCGGCCGUUGAGCGGGGGACGACAUAAGGAAAGGAAAGCUAAUACCGCAUAAAAACGUGAAAGAGAAGUUUUAAGUUUGAAAGAUGCAAUUGCAUAACUCAAGGAUGAUCCCGCGUUGUAUUUGCUAGUUGGUGAGGUAAAGGCUCACCAAGGAGAUGAUACAUAGCCGAACUUAGAGGGUGGUCGGCCCCAUUUGGACUUGGACACGGCCCCAACUCCCUCCGGAGGCCGCAGUAGGGAAUCUUCGGCCAUGGACGAAAAUCUUACCGCACACCUCCGCGUGAGUUAAGAAGGUUUUCCGAUCGUUAAACUCUGUUGGUUGGGAAGAACGUUGGUUAGAUUGGAAACCUCCUCUAUUGACGGUACCUACCCAGAAAGCGACGGCUAACUACGUG